AAUCAACGCUGGCGGCGUGCCUCAGACAUGCAAGUCGAACGCGAAAGUUCCCUUCGGGGGCGGAGUAGAGUGGCGCACGGUGAGUAACACGUAGGUAAUCUACCUUUGGGUUGGGGAAGUAACAGCCGGAACGGACUGCUAAUACCGCAUAAUGCAGCGGCUCGACAUCGAGACAGUUGUUAAAGACGGGGGAGUCGCAAGACCUCGCGCCUAAAGAGGAGCCUGCGGCGGAUUAG
rnacentral:rRNA from 1 species